rnacentral:misc_RNA from 1 species
AUCACCAAUUGGGUGUACCAUUUUUGUGUUCACUCACAAUGGCGGGGACUCUCCAAAUUAUAUUCCUCAAUCCUCCGGUAACCGGGAACUCACUGUCUCGGUGCCGGAGUUCUCAUCUUCCGACGACUCACUUCUCGUUUUCUGGCAACUGCCCUUCGAUAAUCAGCUACAGGUUGCAUCUUGGUUCGAAAUUCAGUUCACCUGUUAGAGCCAGUUCACAAUAUUCAAAUAAGG